GAACUGCGAUAAGUAAUGUGAAUUGCAGAAUUCAGUGAAUCAUCGAGUCUUUGAACGCACAUUGCGCCCCCUGGCAUUCCGGGGGGCAUGCCUGUCCGAGCGUCAUUGCUGCCCUUCAAGCCCGGCUUGUGUGUUGGGUCGUCGUCCCCCCCGGGGGACGGGCCCGAAAGGCAGCGGCGGCACCGUGUCCGGUCCUCGAGCGUAUGGGGCUUUGUCACCCGCUCGAUUAGGGCCGGCCGGGCGCCAGCCGGCGUCUCCAACCUUAUUUUUCUCAGGUUGACCUCGGAUCAGGUAGGGAUACCCGCUGAACUUAAGC
rnacentral:misc_RNA from 1 species